rnacentral:rRNA from 1 species
UACGAAGGGGGCUAGCGUUGCUCGGAAUUACUGGGCGUAAAGCGCACGUAGGCGGCUUUCUAAGUCGGGGGUGAAAUCCUGGAGCUCAACUCCAGAACUGCCUUCGAUACUGGAGAGCUCGAGUCCGGGAGAGGUGAGUGGAACUGCGAGUGUAGAGGUGAAAUUCGUAGAUAUUCGCAAGAACACCAGUGGCGAAGGCGGCUCAGUGGCCCGGUACUGACGCUGAGGUGCGAAAGCGUGGGGAGCAAACAGG